rnacentral:rRNA from 1 species
GACGUAGGGCGCGAGCGUUGUCCGGAAUUAUUGGGCGUAAAGAGCUCGUAGGCGGCUUGUUGCGUCUGCUGUGAAAACCCGCGGCUUAACCGUGGGCUUGCAGCCGAUACGGGCGGGCUAGAGUUCGGUAGGGGAGACUGGAAUUCCUGGUGUAGCGGUGAAAUGCGCAGAUAUCGGGAAGAACACCCGUGGCGAAGGCGGCUCUCUGGGACGGUACUGACGCUGAGACGCGAAAGCGUGGGGAGCGAACAGG